UAGCCUUUAAUCAGCGUAACCUUUCAAGUAAACGCCCGCCUAGCUUAGAGUCCAACCUCCCUGAUUUACUUAGCUUACAGCUAGUUCUCCCUGGUUACUAAGCAACACAACUGGCGGUUAGCGUAACAUACUAGGCUAUUUAUUUUGUUAGCAGCUACAGGUGUGCAUUUGUCCCGUCUUUUUCGACGAUUUUCAGUAAACCACCACCAAAAUACAGUUGCAGAGCAGAUGGCAUUUUAGCUUCUCCAGUGUUCAGUGACAUGGUAAUGAUGCCAAAUGACAGGACACAGAUAAGCUCAAAAGGCAAACAACAGCUGAGAUCUUUUCAAUGACACACCAUGAGGUGAUGUUUAAGAAACAUUAAUGGAAGUCAGGGCUCAAUAGAGCAGAAGAAAUCAGCACUCUAUGACCACACAGUGUCUACUGUCUAUUUAUACUGGCAAUGACCCAGUGCA